rnacentral:rRNA from 1 species
AGUGAACGCUGGCGGUAGGCCUAACACAUGCAAGUCGAACGGCAGCACAGUAAGAGCUUGCUCUUACGGGUGGCGAGUGGCGGACGGGUGAGGAAUACAUCGGAAUCUACUUUUUCGUGGGGGAUAACGUAGGGAAACUUACGCUAAUACCGCAUACGACCUACGGGUGAAAGCAGGGGAUCUUCGGACCUUGCGCGAUUGAAUGAGCCGAUGUCGGAUUAGCUAGUUGGCGGGGUAAAGGCCCACCAAGGCGACGAUCCGUAGCUGGUCUGAGAGGAUGAUCAGCCACACUGGAACUGAGACACGGUCCAGACUCCUACGGGAGGCAGCAGUGGGGAAUAUUGGACAAUGGGCGCAAGCCUGAUCCAGCCAUACCGCGUGGGUGAAGAAGGCCUUCGGGUUGUAAAGCCCUUUUGUUGGGAAAGAAAAGCAGCAGGUUAAUACCCCGCUGUUCUGACGGUACCAAAAGAAUAAGCACCGGCGAACUUCGU